ACCAUUCCCCUUGCCAGGUACAUGGGCUAUAGGAGAAACACACGUGCAACCUAGCAGUUACCUCGAGGUAGCAGCUAUGGAUGCUUUUGCAUUCGCAGCUGGCCACUCAACCACUCAAGUGUGUUCAGUGUGCACUUAUACUUAGGCACACUUUUUAUUGUCUGUAUCUCAAAAAUUUAAUGUGGCUCCUCAAAAUUUUGAGAAUGUUUGGAUUCUGAGGCUUGCAAAGGUAAAUAGUUUUAUUCCAUUUUCGUUCAAGGUGAAGGCUCGUACAAAAGAUUAGAGAUAUUGUCAGUGCCCCUCACUUUCUCUCAGAACAUAAGUGCUCUGUUAUUGAGAUUCUAGCAGCUCUUCAGCAGCAAGAAAGGGAAUCAGCUUCCCCUGUUUUCAGCAUUGGGUUAAUGCAGGCAAUUCAGGGAGGCAUAAAGUUUUGCUUAUACAAUCGUCUUAAAGUCUUGCUUAUACAAGAAUAUUGCUAGGAGCAGGAACCUCUAAUGCGCAAUCACGAGCAAUACACACACAUCCGUUUUUCAUAAGCUGACGUUAAUCACGGGUAGCGCGAGGGUCUCUGCGUUGACAUGACGACUCCGCUGCAGCCGAAUUCCGAAUACUGCAUAUUCGAUGACAACAGCUAUAGGGGCUUGUUGAUAGGUCCUCUUGUAAUUUGUUUAACCGCAGGUAGAACGACACAGGCAUAAAACACACACGAGACAGCACACAACGCUGAACGACCACCUGCGAACAGCUGUUUACGUCCGCCAUUUCUCCUCGUAUUGAACUUCACAAACCGCUGUUGCGCACUCCAAAACAAAGUAAACUUUGAAGCGUUUUUAAAUUACAAAACGCACGUAUUAUUUGGUCCUAAUAAAGAGAGGUCAAUUAUAUUAUAACGCGCACGUCUUUUUCAUUACAUUAAACGAAUUUAUGCGGCGUGUGCGACAAAAUCUGGCAGCAAGCAACUCUGGGCGUCGCAUAAUCGCAUUGUUGACAUCGCACCAUGUGAAAUGGCCGUUGCGAAUUUCGCACCUGCGAAAAUCGCAGUGCAAUAUCGCACCAUGUGAAACAGCCUUCAUUCAGGUUUGCUGGCAUGAUGCCACUCGUGUGCUUUGGUAAUAGCGGCUGUAACAGCCUUGGUUGUUCUGAUGUCUACUGGUGGUGUCACUGGAAUUCCCAAAUUUCCUGCAAGAAAAUUGCAAAUAAAAGGAUUCUCAUUGUGCUGUGAGUAUUCGAACUUGCAACCGAAAGAUUGGCAGUCCAUAAUUCUACAUCUAAGCCACUCUGCUGAAGCUACAGCCGUGGUCAAUAAUGAUCCUGGAGAGUGCGAUCCAACAGGUGCCAUGAUUAGCUAACACCUGUUCAAUAUUUGUGUACUGUAUAUAGAGCUGGCGUUCACGCCUUCAGGUUGUGGCACGUCACCGUCCCACUUGUGGAGGCAGUCCUAUGUUAAAUUUUCUUCUUGCACGUAAUGACAAUGAUCGGAUGAGUCUGCUUAGUCUUCAUUAUUCUUUUUCCAGUGCUUGGCUUCUCAUGCUUACUGUAUGGGACUGCUGAUGUCUUGUUUUCCCCAAGGACAGAGUGAGGCCUAUUGAUGCGGUAGCCACAAUAUAAAUUUGAGAAAACCAAAACAAAUUCAGCAUUAACAACAUAAAGGGUUGUUUUGGUAGAGACCAGUGGCC